UACAGAGGUCUCAAGCGUUGUUCGGAUUCAUUGGGCGUAAAGGGUGCGUAGGUGGCGAGGUUAGUCAGGUGUGAAAUCUCGGGGCUCAACCCCGAAACUGCACUUGAUACUGCCUUGCUAGAGUACUGGAGAGGAGAUUGGAAUUUACGGUGUAGCAGUGAAAUGCGUAGAUAUCGUAAGGAAGACCAGUGGCGAAGGCGAAUCUCUGGACAGUUACUGACACUGAGGCAGCGAAGGCCAGGGGAGCAAACGGG
rnacentral:rRNA from 1 species